GUACUUACCCGGCGGGGGAGGGAGACACCAUGGGCAUGAAAGUGGUUUUCCCAGGGUGAGGCUUAUCCUUGCCCUCUGGAUAUGCUGACUCCUACAGUUUCCCCAAAUGUGGGAAACUCGACUGUGUAAUUUGUGGGAAUGGGGGACUGCGUUCUUGCUUUCUCCUG
rnacentral:snRNA from 1 species